CAAGGUAGAGCCACGCCCACGAACCGCGAUUUUCCCGCGCACCGGAUGUCAGCCUGAGGAAGCUUCAAAGCACGACGCUGCCUCACAGGUCAUGUUGUUCUGUAUUGUCACCUGCAGAACUAUAAUUGUGGGCAGCAGAGUUCCAGGUCGUACAUUACUUUUUGCUGUAUUUACAGCAGUGGUUGCUACUGCACCCAAACCCCUGGGAAAUAACAGGACUCCAUAGGGGUCCCCAACCACCAGGCCGCUGACCAGAACCAGGACGCGGACAGUCCUGAAGUGGGCCAUCGAAUUGAACACUGGAGCACUGAAUUGGAUGCCGACCCCUCCUGACCCCAUCCCGACCCCUCCCGAACCCCCUCCGAUCCUUACAAAAAAGUUUUGCUUUUCUUUGGUCCCCAGGCCAAAAAAGAUUGGGGACCCCUGGUUUAAAUGGGGUCCUUUUGAAAGCUGGAGAGAGUCAGAAGAAGAAGCCGAAUAACUAAAAAACUAUAAGAAAAAAUACAAUAAUGAAGACCAAUGGAAAAGUUGCUUAAAAUUGGCCAUUCUACAACAUACUAAAAAUGAACUAGAAGAUGAACCAGCCCUGGCACUAUUAGGGAGCAUCUCUUCUCCUUCUCAGUCGCUCUGAUGUGGAUAUGUUCUUGUGUUUCAGAGUGGAAACAAAGCAGCGUCAGUACCAAUAGUUUAUAAAAUACCAAACCACUAAAUAAAUACACACGUAUUGAUGUGGCACUUGGAAAGGAAUCUACUGCAGGCUGUAGCGACCCCCCCCCCCAAGAAUGAAUGACCCCGAGCACAGUCAUAAAUAAUGAAGUACAGUAACACUAUCGCCUAAGACCAGCUCCCGAGGAUAUUUUACCCUCACAUCUAUAAUUUACAUUUUCCGGCCUCCUGGAACAUCCAGUGGAAGAGACACCUGAACCGCCGGCAUGACAUUUGCCUCCAUACACAGCUUGUUCAUUGUCAGGGUACAGGUAUAGAAACAUGCGGUACAAAACUGUAGUAAUCCUACAACAUGGGGAAAUGCAGAGCAGUGAGAGUGAAGGGGUAGAGAAAGAAAAAAAUACUGUACCAGCCUUCCUUUACAUUUUUUCCCU